rnacentral:tRNA from 1 species
AACUUGAGUUUAAAACGGUAACCUUUGAAGUUAAGUAUAUUAAUUAAUUUUAAUAAGUUCAU